GACGAACGCUGGCGGCGUGCUUAACACAUGCAAGUCGAACGGUGAAGCGCCUUCCUUUUUGGUGGGUGUGGAUGAGUGGCGAACGGGUGAGUAACACGUGAGUAACCUGCCCCCUUCUUCUGGAUAACCGCAUGAAAGUGUGGCUAAUACGGGAUAUUCUGGGUCUGUCGCAUGAUGGGUCUGGGAAAGAUAUUGUUUCGGUGGGGGAUGGGCUCGCGGCCUAUCAGCUUGUUGGUGGGGUGAUGGCCUACCAAGGCGGUGGCGGGUAGCCGGCCUGAGAGGGUGGACGGUCACACUGGGACUGAGACACGGCCCAGACGCCUACGGGAGGCAGCAGUGGGGAAUAGUGCACAAUGGGCGCGAGCCUGAUGCAGCGACGCCGCGUGAGGGAUGGAGGCCUUCGGGUUGUGAACCUCUUUCGCCAGUGAAGCAGGCCUGCCUCGUUUGUGGGUGGGUUGACGGUAGCUGGAGAAGAAGCGCCGGCUAACUACGUG
rnacentral:rRNA from 1 species